rnacentral:sRNA from 1 species
UAGUUCUACUUUUAAGGGGUGGUAUU